rnacentral:lncRNA from 1 species
CUGGUCGAGGGUGGUUAGUGGAAGCAACUGGCAUGGGUUCCUUUUCAUCCGCGCUGACUAAAUCCAUUGCCAUCGCGCUUCUUGUGAGGCCCAGAGGGAGCAUGCGAAGGGAGAGGCAGCACCAAACUUGAAGCGAAUCCAUAGGCGUACCAGUGUGUCUCCGGUUCCUUGAUGCGGAGACAAUGGUGUGGUUGACCGUAGGUGUGUGUCCUCGGAGGAGCUUGGAUGAGAAUCUCACAUGAAGAUAAGUCGACUUUUAAUUCAACGAACCCUUUUCUGCAAAAGCUUGUGCCCCAGUGGGGGAAUUAAGGAGGAAUUAUAUUCUUGGAGAUGUUGAAAAAAGAUUCCUGGGUCUUGGAAAAUAAUUACUAGAAAUAUGCAGGUAUUUGACGUAACAUGGAGUAAAGAUGCAAAUACACAGCAGCAGAGUUAGAGGAGGUUGCCUUUCCCCCCAAAGCUUGAAUUUUAUCCAGUGUGGUGAGUAUACCUCCUUUUCUUUUUG